GAGGAGAAGACAGUUUGGAGACAGGGAAAAACCGUGGAAGACAGAACCUGGAGAAGAGUUGGGAACCUCAGAGGAGGUUGCAAAUAGCUGUCUGUGGACAUCUGGUUUGUGGUCUCAAGGAAACAGAGACAAUAUUGAUUUUUGAAACAAGAGGGGCUCCAAGUGCCUGUUAUUCGGGAGCACUUUGAGAAACACUGCAGGGCUCCUGAAGGAGGACAGAGUCAGGCUAACCAUCUCUAGAUGCAGUGACCUGCCAAAUGGGCUGUUGGGCUGGAAGAAAUGCAGAUUGCUUAUUGCUUCCAUUUAUCCCCGGGCUCCUCUCCUGUCAUCCUCCUUUCUCGGCUUCUGCAGUCCCAGCUCUGGGCAUGAGACUUACGGCUCCCUCGAUCCAGCAUCAGGACCUCCCCUCUAGUUGUACUAACUUGGCUCCCUCUUGAAGCUCAGAAUUUAUGCAACCAAAGCCCAGAUUCCUUCACUGGUGGGUCUGAAACCAACCCCCUCCUCUCCUGCUCUGCUCUUCCUGGCCUGCAUCUUCGCUUUGCAGGAGGUGCCAGACGUCAAAUUGCCCCACAUUCUGUGGCUUCGGGACCCAGGCAAACGUCCAUGAAGGAGAAACUUGUAACCACUGGGACGCGGGAUGAAUGCAGGGCCCUGGACUCUGUUGUGGGCAAAUACGUUGAGCGAUUUGAAAUGACUCUCCCGGGAGCUGGUUGUCAAAUUUUUGGUGUGUUCAGGAAAUGUCUGCCACAUUUUACAUCAACAUUUUCAAACGGUGCUUAAAACUCUACUCAAAUCCAACUUCCUCCCUGAAGCCGUCUGCCCAGCGGGGAUCAAUGUCUCCUUCUAGCUCCUGGUACAACUUCUGCAGUUAUAUUAUGUGAGGUUCUGCUUUCUCAUAUGCUGACUGCUGGCUUAGACACAUUCUCUUCGUUCAUCUUCCCACCACACCUGCACAAGAAGAAAUGGGAGCUCAGCUCCAUCAGCCUGCUGGAGGUCAGGCAGCUAUGACGGGGCAGGAGCAGUAUUUGAACUCAGGACUAUGUGCUCCGAAGCCUGUUCUUGUCUCUGUAUUAAUGGUUCUCAAAGUGUGGUCCUUGGACCAGCGGUAUCACCUGGGAACUUGUUAAAAAUAUAAGUUAUCAGGCCCUACUCCAGACGUAUGGAAACAAAAACUUCGUGGUUGAGGCCCAGAAAUCUGUAUUUUAACAGGCCCCUUGGGGAUUCUGGUGCAUGCUUAAGUUUGAGAACCACUCUUCCAUACCCAGCUUGCUUCUGAUGUAUGGUUCUGUGAUAUGUGUUAUCUUGGUCACUAGACUGUAAGCUACCUGAGGGCAGGACUUCUGCCUUAUUCACUUGGGAGCAAGACACUAUACUAGGUGCUGCUGUGGAAAUGUAACAAGAGUAACAGCGGACAUUUAUUGAGCUCUUCACGCCACAUGGCAUGCUAAACCUUCAUGUGGUUUAUAUUAUUGAAUUCUCAGAAUAACCCCUUGAGGUCAGCACUAUUAUUAUCUGCCGUUUACAGAUCAGGACACUGAAACUCAAGUGGGUGAAGCAGCUUGCUUAAAAUCCAAUGCCAUGCAUGAGGAAGCUGGGAUGUGAACCCAGAGGUUCUGACUCCAGAGCCCGUGCUCUUACCCAGCAGGCUGCCCUGUUCAGUGCAUGCUUCCCGAAUUGACUAUAACCAUCUGACCUCUUCCAUGCAUCACGUGAAGAAAAAGUCUCAACUGUAAAUAAGGGGAGAAAUGUACACAGAGCAGCUUGCGAGGAUAGAGAGGGCUUGGAUGUCUUUCUGAAAGGAAGCCAUCAUUUUCUUUCUUUUCUCUAGAGACAGGGUCUCGUUUCAUCACCCAGGCUGGAGUGCAGUGGUGCAAUCAUGGCUCACUGCAGCCUUGAACUCCUGGGCUCAAGCAAUCCUCCUGCCUCAGCCUCCCAAGUAGCUGGGACUGCAGGUGUAUGCCACCAUGCCCAGCUAAUUUUUUUUUGUUGUUUUUGUGGUGGGGUCUUGCUGUGUUGCCUAGACUGACCUCGAACUCCUGGCCUCAAGCAAUCCUUCUGCCUUGGCUUCCCAAAGUGCUGGGAUUAUAGGCAUGAGCCAUUGAGACUGGCCAGAAGGUAUCCUUUUUUUAGAGAAACUAAAAGCAUUCUCAAGCUCCCUUAAUUUCACUUCUGAUAGAUGAGUUAUCUUGACCUCCUGUUCAGGAUAGGGCCAAAUCUACUCAGUCCUGUUGUAUCCAGGGUACUUAAAUGUCUUGAAUUCCUGCACCAGAAGGUACAGUCUUCUGGGGAGUCACAGUAGGGGGUGAGGGGGCACAGGGGAGAGGAGGGUCUACAGGUUAGGACUCCAGCAGUGAUGCUUGAAUUUGAAUCAUGAUUGUGCUGCUUGAAAUCAAUGUCAUUUUAGAUAUAAGCUGCUUACACUUUCUGGAACUCGGUUUCUUCAACUGUAAAAUGGAAAUAAUGAUAAUAGCUGUUUUAUUUGUGCUGAGCAGGAAUGAGACUGUGGCUGGGAGAAUGCUUUAUAAAUCAAAAGGGAUGUCUGGAAAGUUCAGUGUUCUUUCCUGGACCAUUGGGAGUUGCAGCGUAGGGAGGUAUUGAGGAGGUGCCCACCAGUCUUGAUUUCUAACCUGAGAUUCUUUUUUUGUUUUGAGCUGGAGUUUCACUCUUGUUGUCCACAAUGGAGUACAGUGACACGGUCUCAGCUCACUGCAAUCUCCCGGGUUCAAGGAUUCUCUUGCUUCGGCCUCCCGAGUAGCUGGGAUUACAGGCACCCCCCACCACACCCAGCUAAUUUUUGUACUUUUAGUAGAGACGGGGUUUCACCAUGUUGGUCAGGCUGGUCUCAAACUCCUGACCUCAGGGGAUCCACCCACCUCAGCCUCCCAAAGUGCUGGGAUUACAGGCGUGAGCCACCAUGCCUGGCCCAACCUGAGAUUCUUUUCUGCCAGACUUCCUUCCUUAGAACACAAACAUGUGAUUUCUCAGUGCUUGCCAGAGAUGCAGACCUGUUCCUCUGAGGCUGGAAAUGACUUCACGGUACUUUUCAAACAGUAAUUAUCUACAGAAAAGCGCCCUGAGACCCUCGGAGACCAGGAGCCGAGAACCCCUUAUAAGGACACGAUGCUGUUUCUCAUCCCAACCCUCAAGAUAAGGGCGUUUCUCUGCCUGGAUUUGUAGAAUCCAAUUUGGAUGCCUGGAUUCUGGGUUUCCCCCAUGGAACAGACUCCUUCCCCCUCCUUCUCACCCAUCCCUCUUCAGGCACCAAAGCCCCUUCCAAAAUGUCUUCACCUUUCACAUGACACCAGCACUCAAAUCCACCAUUCCAAAUAAAUGAGAAAGAAACCCCUUUCCGCCAGGUUUUGCUUGUGCCCCGGCAACCCAAAGCUAGGAUACAGUUUCAUGGCAGGGCACAUGUGUGUGUAAUUGCUACCUGAGAGGAAGACCAGGAGAGCCUGCUCGAAAUGGGGUGUUAAUGAUAAGCACCACAAGAUUUGUUACUGUAGUGAAGCCCCAUCUGGAUGGACUACAUUAAGUUGCUUUUUAAUGUGGCCCUUUGAUGUGGCCCUUCAUAGAGUCCCUCCAGUGCUUGUUAGUUAGGGAGCAUCCCACGAUAGAAAAAAAAGCAAGAACAAAACCAUAAACGAGAACAAGAACCACCCCUUUUGCUCAGCUGAAACACUACAAUCAUGCUAGUUUACCCACCUGUCAGCUUCUUUCAGACCUGUGACCACAUCUAGGGAUAGGCUUCCUUAGAGGAAAGGAACUUGAAACUGUGUUUCUGGAUGCAUUGUUUUAAGCAUCAAUUAUUUUUUUUUUUUUUUUUUGAGAUGGAGUCUUGCUCUGUCGCCCAGGCUGUGGCACGAUCUCCGCUCACUGCAAGCUCUGCCUCCCAGGUUCACGCCAAUCUCCUGCCUCAGCCUCCUGAGUAGCUGGGACUACAGGCGCCCACCACCACA
rnacentral:lncRNA from 1 species